GAAUAAGCAUGGCACAGUGGUUUGAGUGUUGGACUACAACUCUGAAGACCAGGGUUCGAUUCAUAGCUUGGCCA